UACAGAGGUCUCAAGCGUUGUUCGGAUUCAUUGGGCGUAAAGGGUGCGUAGGUGGCGAGGUAAGUCGGAUGUGAAAUCUCAGGGCUCAACCCUGAAACUGCAUUCGAUACUGCCUUGCUCGAGGACUGGAGAGGAGAUUGGAAUUCACGGUGUAGCAGUGAAAUGCGUAGAUAUCAGGAGGAACACCAAUAGCGAAGGCAGCUCGCUGGGACGGUACUGACGCUGAGGUGCGAAAGCGUGGGGAGCAAACAGG
rnacentral:rRNA from 1 species